UGGGGGAAUAUUGCACAAUGGGCGAAAGCCUGAUGCAGCGACGCCGCGUGAGCGAAGAAGUAUUUCGGUAUGUAAAGCUCUAUCAGCAGGGAAGAUAAUGACGGUACCUGACUAGGAAGCACCGGCUAAAUACGUGCCAGCAGCCGCGGUAAUACGUAUGGUGCAAGCGUUAUCCGGAUUUACUGGGUGUAAAGGGAGCGCAGGCGGUGCGGCAAGUCUGAUGUGAAAGCCCGGGGCUCAACCCCGGUACUGCAUUGGAAACUGUCGUACUAGAGUGUCGGAGGGGUAAGCGGAAUUCCUAGUGUAGCGGUGAAAUGCGUAGAGAUUAGGAAGAACA
rnacentral:rRNA from 1 species